GAAGUGGUGGUUACUGAUGACUCAGCCGAGCCAUGCAUUUCAUUCUUUCUCUCUCCAGUCUCUCUGUGCUCUCUCCUUCCUCUGUCAUUUGCUUUGCUCUUUACAUUCUAUUCAUUCUUCUUUUCUAUUCUGGAUCUUUAUUUUCUAUUUUACUCUCACCCUUUCUGUCUCUGUCCACCACCUUUUCUCUCUUCCCCCUGAUUCAUCUUGACCUUUGGAGACAUCUCUGAGUGUGUAUUUUUGUGUGUAUGUGUGUGUGUGUGUGUGUGUGUGUAUGAGAGAGUGUGCAUGUGCUGUGUGUCUGCCUUACUAGGAUAUUCAGCAAUGUGAGUGGGAAGAUAACUGGCUUCCUUCAGAGUGAUUAAAACAUUCCUUCUUCUUUAUCCUCUCUCUCUUUCUUUCUCUACCCUUUUAGUUCUCAUUGACUUUCUGAUGAAGAUGAGGAUGAGGAGAGACAAACUGGACUGUCCAUGAGGUCUGGGGUCAGCUUACUUACACAUCUUUUAGGUCUAAGACGCAGGAUUGAGAAACAGUUUCACCACAGGACUAUCAGACUGGUUUCCACCACAUUCACCCAUCCUGACAAGCGGUGGGGAAACCACCCCAGCAAAGCUCAUCUGUAUGCAGCCAGUUAUGGCCACCAGUGAAUGUCGGCCGUGUCUUGGGAGGCAGAUGGGACUGUAUGCUAAUGAGAAGGUUAGCGCUGAAGUGUCCUUGGGCAAAAUACUGAACCCCAAAAUUGCCCCCUACAUCUGUCUGAGUGUAGUUGAGAUGUUGCUGAGGCACUUUGUGGUUAUGACCUCAUCAUCAUGAGAUGGAAAGGCUGGUGACUGCAGGCAGCUACAGAAGAGGUGGUGCUGUGUUGUGGUUUGCAGCUGCUGGUUCUUGGCAAAAUAAAUUGCACUGUGGAGAUGCCUCAGGGAAUUAUUUGCUCAAAGGUUGAAAGGAUGAACAAAAAAAGGAAUUCAAGAGGUAUUUGUGAUUCAGACUGUGUUUGUCUGUAGUUGUGACUUAGAUGUAUCUCAGAUCAAAUUUCGUAAUCGAUGGAGAAACUGUUUUUAAAAAAAUAUUUAUUUAUUAUUUUUAAUCAGAAAUAUCUUUUUACACCAGCGAUUAAGUUCCACAGUUUAAGGACUAACUGGUCUGGUUGACUGACACUGCUGAGUAACACUACAGUGUUUUAAAACCAUUAACAGGCUGCCAUUCAUGGGGUGAGUGGGCUUCAUGGCUAUUGUCACACAUUACAACCACGUAGUAAAAUUUUAAAAAGUUGUUAUUGCUGAGAACAUGUCAUUCAUCAGAAAUGUGCACACAUUUUACAUGAUAGGAACUGUUUUUUCCCCACUUCUCCUGAAAUAUACUACAUCAGGAAAAAAAAGGUUUUUACCCUAAAAUUCGCAUGUUUUGAGCAGGGUUUUGAAAAAUUUUCCACUAAUCCGUCCUGAGUCAUAGGUAUGACUUCAGCAAUGUUAGGGAACUUCUUUAGAUGGUGUUAAAGAGCUUAACAGGCGCCUCCUUGUUGGAAUGUAAUGACUCCGCUUCUGUUUGGAGAAACCCCAGAUCUAAAGAGCUCCUCUUUUCUGUGUUUUAAGAGAAAGACAUACUCCUCUCUUUUCUACUUUUUAAAUGUAUCCAUACUCUGGCAUUCAUAGGAAUUGGCAUUAACACGAGUGGAUAGAAACUACGUGAAAAAUGAGUCAUGCCUAGAAAACCCUGACCUUAGAAAAUGUUGAUAUACACUAAUUUAUGUGCUUUGGGGUCCUUAGGGACUAGAAAAGCGCUAUACAAAUGCAGGCCAUUUACCAUUUACCAUUUAUUCCCUUAACUAUAUAAAGAUUGGUGCCUGAAUUUUUUUUUCUGUAUGUGUAAGAUUUGUAACAUGUAACAUUUCCAUUCUACAACAUGCAGUGGGAAGACUACAUGUAGUCUUGUACCUACAAUCUUGAAUUUCAAGGCCUGAUGUGGAUGCUUGUCUCACCUACUUUUUCCCUGUACUUGUUUUGCUCUAACAUUACCAUUAAUUAAUAAACUAAUUAUCUAGCCUAUGGAAUUGAUACAUUUGGCUGUUAAUUAUUAAAAAAGAAGCAUACACUAUUCUUAUGGGCCAAUCAAUAAUCUAAAAGAAGCUUUGACAAAUCAACACUUUUAAUAGUCAAUUAAUAGUCAAUAUAUGACCCCACACCCCUGCACACACACACACACACACACACACACACACACACCACACACACACACACACACACACACACGCACACACACACACACAUAGAAAAAAAACAUGAAAACGUGACUUGGUUUAGUUUGACCGCUGUUACAUUGAGGCAGUGAUAUUUGAGUGCUGAGCAGGAAGCAGGUUCUCAUAGCCCUGUCUUUUUCCCCAUGUUGAAAAUGGUGGCACAGAAUGUAAGAUUGUAAUGUAUGAAGUACCAAGGAAAUUUUGCUAUGAAAUAAAAAAAUGUAAUAAAAUGCAGUUUUUCUUAAGAGUCAUGGAGUUUUCAGGUAUCAUGUUUAGGAAAUGCUUCAGUGAAGUGACACUUUUUAAAGCAAGUGGGUGAUUGAUCGGUGAACUGAGGAGUUUAAUGUGGCAUGGACAUUCAGGUUCAGGUGUAAUUUCUCGCACAAUAUGCCGAUCAGUAUGGUACAUACAAGAGAGUGGACAGGAAAAGAGCUCAGUUUGUUCAUAUGGGUAAUGCAGACGAAAAAAAUACAUUUGCAGUGUGUGUGUGUGUGUGUGUGUGUGUGUGUGUGUGUGUGUUUGUGUAUUGUAAAAGGAACCGUGUAAACUUAAAAGAGGGACAAAGACCAAAGAAGGAAGAGUGCAUGUGAAAAAGAGAAAGACAAAGUGGUGAGAGAGGGCGUAUAUCUUUAGCUGCCUAUAAAGCUCUGCGUGCUUCUCAUUUUAGGCAGAAGUGAAUCCUGGCUGUAAGAAAUGAUGACAAUACACUAAUAAAGCAUCUCAAACUGAGGAACUUGUCUGUUGUGUUUGUUGGUACACUUUAAGG
ensembl:lncRNA